UACGUAGGGUGCAAGCGUUGUCCGGAAUUAUUGGGCGUAAAGAGCUCGUAGGCGGUUCGUCGCGUCGGCUGUGAAAACCCGAGGCUCAACCUCGGGCCUGCAGUCGAUACGGGCGGACUGGAGUUCGGCAGGGGAGACUGGAAUUCCUGGUGUAGCGGUGAAAUGCGUAGAUAUCAGGAGGAAUACCGGUGGCGAAAGCGACUCUCUGGACGGCAACUGACGCUGAGGCACGAAAGCGUGGGGAGCAAACAGG
rnacentral:rRNA from 1 species